AUUGAACGCUGGCGGCAUGCUUUACACAUGCAAGUCGGACGGCAACUCGCAUAAGCUUGCUUCCUGGUGGGCCAGUGGCGAACGGCUGAUGAACAUACCUCAUCGUACCGAGCAAUGACCGAUCACUGAUCUGAAUAUUACCUCAUACCACCUAUCUUCUGACGAAUAAAGCAGGUAACCGUUUGGCCUUGCUCUGUAUGAGCGUGCGAUCUCUGAUUAACUAGGUGGUGGGGUGAAUGCCUACCGCGACGACCAUCAGCAGCGCUUCUAAGACGAUGAUCCGCCACACUGCUACUGAGACACCCACACUACUCCUACAGGAGGCAGCAGAGAAUAAAUUUUGGAGAAAGGACACUCUGCAUGCAUCCAACCAUGCGCGCGUGACUGAAGAACGUCUUCUCGUUGAACUCGACUCUUUGGCAAGAAAGAAGAGGGUGGAGCUAAUACCCCUGGCUGAUGACAGUUCCUGACGAAUAACCACCGUGCUAACUACGGUGCCAACAGCCGCUCUAAUACUAUAGGGCGCAAGCGUUAAUCAGAAUUACUGCUCAUACAGAGGUCACAGACGGUUACUUAAGCAGGAUGUGAAAUCCCCGGGCUCAACCUGGGAACUGCGUUCUGAACUGGGUGACUAGAGUGUGUCAGAGGGAGGUAGGAUUCCACGUGUAGCAGUGAAAUGCGUAGAGAUGUGGAGGAAUACCGAUGGCGAAGGCAGCCUCCUGGGAUAACACUGACGUUCAUGCCCGAAAGCGUGGGUAGCAAACAGGAUUAGAUACCCUGGUAGUCCACGCCCUAAACGAUGUCGAUUAGCUGUUGGGCAGCAUGACUGCUUGGUAGCGAAGCUAACGCGUGAAAUCGACCGCCUGGGGAGUACGGUCGCAAGAUUAAAACUCAAAGGAAUUGACGGGGACCCGCACAAGCGGUGGAUGAUGUGGAUUAAUUCGAUGCAACGCGAAGAACCUUACCUGGUCUUGACAUGUACGGAACCCUCCAGAGACGGAGGGGUGCCUUCGGGAGCCGUAACACAGGUGCUGCAUGGCUGUCGUCAGCUCGUGUCGUGAGAUGUUGGGUUAAGUCCCGCAACGAGCGCAACCCUUGUCAUUAGUUGCCAUCAUUAAGUUGGGCACUCUAAUGAGACUGCCGGUGACAAGCCGGAGGAAGGUGGGGAUGACGUCAAGUCCUCAUGGCCCUUAUGACCAGGGCUUCACACGUCAUACAAUGGUCGGUACAGAGGGUAGCCAAGCCGCGAGGUGGAGCCAAUCUCACAAAACCGAUCGUAGUCCGGAUUGCACUCUGCAACUCGAGUGCAUGAAGUCGGAAUCGCUAGUAAUCGCAGGUCAGCAUACUGCGGUGAAUACGUUCCCGGGUCU
rnacentral:rRNA from 1 species